rnacentral:misc_RNA from 1 species
GAUGAAGAACGUAGCGAAAUGCGAUAAGUAAUGUGAAUUGCAGAAUUCAGUGAAUCAUUGAAUCUUUGAACGCACCUUGCGCUCCUUGGUAUUCCGAGGAGCAUGCCUGUUUGAGUGUCAUUAAUAUAUCAACCUUCUCUUUUUUGAGUUGUUUGGAUGUGGGGGUUUGCUGGCCUCUUAAAUGAUUCAGCUCCCCUGAAAUGCAUUAGCAGAACAACCUGUUCAUUGGCGUGAUAAUUAUCUAUGCUAUUGAAUGUGAGGGCAGUUCAGCUUUCUAACCGUCCUUGGACAAUUCAUCAUUAAUGUGACCUCAAAUCAGGUAGGACUACCCGCUGAACUUAAGCAUAUCAAUAAGCGGAGGA